CAAUAAAAUUUAUCACGUUUUACUUCUUCUUUUUGCUCGCGUGUUUCGUUUCUUUAUUUUUCUUUUGAGGUCGUUUAGCUAAUGUAUAUUUAAAUUAUUUGACAUUAGACUUAAAAUUAAACUUGUACGAUGAGUGAAAAAAAAAGAAAGUAGUUACUUUGAACAAGUGGUUUCGGUGCGGCAUCCCUCUGGAAUUUUUUUUAAAAGUACGGAUAUAAAAUCUGCAAGGUGCAAAGAACGUUCGGGCGUUAUAAAAUUAGAAAUCUAGAAAUUACUAAGGAAUUAACACUGUCCAGUAGUAUUGAAAAGGGACCAGACCUGGUAAUAAAUUCGGAUAACGAUUUUUGUUGAGCCGACAUCACUCUUUCAACCAAAGAAGGGAAUUAAAGGUUAUUUUACAUCUUGUUAAAACGGAAGCACCGCGAAUGGUUCCAUUAGAUUAUUUUCCCUUUAAAUCUUUUAUUACUUCGACGGAUUUAAAAAAGUUGUACCUUAAAUUGGGUCAUCCCAAACCGUUAGAACUAUCGUAAUGAAAUAUGGAAAUGCCGUUAAAAAUAGAAUUACUGAGGAAAUUUUUGGGCAAUGCACCGUCAAAACCAUAAAUUUUCAUUAACAUUGAAUGAUGGGCCCUAAAAGAAACCGACG